CCAGGCUCUGGAGUUCCCUUUAGGAGAGAGUUCCUGUGUCUUUUGCCCAGGAUGGAAUCAUCCAGGCAGCACUUAGUGUGUGUAUUCAUUCUUUCAGAACCACCUGGUGCUGGACUGAGUCUGCUACAUCGGCCGAGAAUGGCUUGUAAGAGACCAAGCUGGGACAGAAGGGGAACUGGUUUCAUUAGGAUUAGAACUAAGUCAACCGAAGCCAUUUAAAGUGUCCGAUGUUGGAUGUGUCCAAGGCUAAAACAUACGGCCUCGAAAGCCUAAGACUUGGGAACUGGACAUUGGCAAAGUUGGGGGAAGGGUUGGGGAGUUUAACGGAUAAGGACACAAUCCCAUGUUCGUUGUCUUCAUUUAAUAUCAGUGAUUUCAUGACUGAUCGAGUAAAUGGCAAGGUCUCACAGGCUCCGUACUGUGCUCAAACAUAGAUAUUUCAAUCCUUGGAGGCAGCUUGAGCACCUUCUCCUGUGAAGUUGUAUCGCUCUCUUGAGUACACUGCAGACAGUUGGGGAGAAAAUAGGAUGGAAAAUAAGCUGGGAUGAGAAAUAAGAAAUGUAUUGACUUUAUCAAAUAAACAAAUUAGAGAAAUA